AGUCAACCUGUGCUUUGAAGCUUUGAAGCCAGGCAUUGACUUCUCUCUGGCUAUGAAAGUCCUAGAUGGCAU
ensembl:miRNA